GAGGGUAUAGCUCAAGCAGUAGAGCGCAUGCUUAGCAUGCAUGAAGACCUGGGUUCAAUCCCCCGUACCUGCU
rnacentral:tRNA from 1 species